GACGAACGCUGGCGGCGUGCUUAACACAUGCAAGUCGAACGGAAAGGCCCUGCUUUUGUGGGGUGCUCGAGUGGCGAACGGGUGAGUAACACGUGAGUAACCUGCCCUUGACUUUGGGAUAACUUCAGGAAACUGGGGCUAAUACCGGAUAGGAGCUCCUGCUGCAUGGUGGGGGUUGGAAAGUUUCGGCGGUUGGGGAUGGACUCGCGGCUUAUCAGCUUGUUGGUGGGGUAGUGGCUUACCAAGGCUUUGACGGGUAGCCGGCCUGAGAGGGUGACCGGCCACAUUGGGACGGAGAUCCGCCCAAAACCCCUAGGGGGGGAAGGAGUGGGGAAUAUUGAACAAGGGGCGGAACCCUGAUGCAGAAACGCCGCGUGGGGGAUGACGGCCUUCGGGUUGUAAACCGCUUUCGCCUGUGACGAAGCGGGAGUGAGGGUAAUGGGUAAAGAAACACGGGCAAACUACGU
rnacentral:rRNA from 1 species